UCCCUCCAUUGACCAAUAGGAGUAGCCGCUGUCAGUCGUCCCACCCCACCCCUCCCUCCGGCAACCUCCCGAAUGGGAUCUAUCACCUGACUGGGCUCAAACAUGGCUGCGCUGGAAGCUCUAUUGCUUUGGGUACCAGGAGCAGGAGGCGCUCCACGAAUGAGAAAAUUGACAAUGUGUUCUGCGUAAUUCAUCUCUUUCUAUCUCCCUGCACUCUGUGCUGGGAAAAUGCAUCAUCCAUUUGGAAAAGAGGAAAUUGCUUCUCAGAAGCAGCUUUUUGGGUUUUUCUGUGAGUGCCUUCGCAGAGGAGAAUGGGAGCUGGCACAGGCAUGUGUACCUCAGCUACACGAGGCACAAGGGGAUAUCCCAAAGAAGGUGGAAGAUAUACUUCAGGCGCUCGUGGUGUGUCCAGAUCAGCUGAGAUGUGGACAGGACAUCAACCCUCAAAGAUUAGCCUGGAUCUGGUUUCUUGUAUUGGAAAAAUGGUUCUCCCAGGAAAAGAAAUUACUCCCAAGUGUUUUCCGGAGAAAGCUUGAGUUUCUUUUAUUAUCAGAAGACCUCCAAAGUGACAUUCCUGAGGACAUCCUCAAGGAGCUAUAUGAGGCCCUAGCACAAGAUUCAGGAGGCCCUGUGCUUGAUGGAAAUCAGAGGCGGGAUAGCUGGACCCCUCGGCUCAGCUCAGAAGCCGUCUCUGUGCUCUGGGAUCUUCUGAGGCAGUCUCCCCAGCCAGCACAGGCCCUGCUGGAGCUCCUGCUUAGCGAAGACGACGGCACUGGCCUCUGUGGCUGGCCCCUGCAGAAGGCACUGGUGGACUUCAUUCGAAGGGCGCUUCAGGGUGUGCAGGGCUCCGCCACUGGGCCCCCUGGUGAAGUAGAUGCUAUCUAUGGAGCCCUGCGGACUCUGCAUUGCCCUGCAGAGCCUCUCGAAGUUGAGCUGCAUCUCCUUUGUGAGGAACUACUGGAGGCCUGCAGGGCUGAGGGAAACCCCCUGCAGGAGGAGCGGGUGCUCAGCUGCCUGCUCCACAAGGCAGGACGGAGCCUGCUAUCCCUGUAUGGCCAUACUUACGCAGAGAAGGCCGCAGAAAAGCCAGCGAGGACCAUACCCUCGGGAAAAGUCUCCCCCGAUCAUCUAGAUCCUGAGCAGGCAAUGCUGGCCCUGUUCUCCAAUCCUGACCCAGCCCAGGCUUGGAAAUCAGCCUAUUUCUACUGCUUGAGCAACAGCAAGCACUUCCUCGAGCAGAUCCUGGUGACGGCACUCACGCUGCUGAAAGAGGAAGACUUCCCAAGUCUUGGCUGCCUACUCGACAGAGAAUUCAGGCCUCUCAGUCGACUGCUCGUGCUCCUGGGCUGGACACACUGCCAGAGCCUAGCAUCAGCCAAGAGUCUGCUCCAGACACUCCACAGGACCCAGGACCAGGGCUGUGACAAGCUCCUCAGGGAUGCCUGUGAUGGGCUGUGGACUCACCUAGAGGUCCUGGAGUGGUGUGUACAGCAGAGCAGCAACCCCAUACCAAAGAGAGAUCUCUUAUGUCAUUUACAUGGUGGAGACAGCCACUCUGUGCUGUACUCUCUCCAUCACCUUACCAACCUUCCAGCUCUCAGGGAGGAAGAUGUUCUCAAGCUCUUACAGAUGGUGCCAGCCAAGGACCCCCAGCAAGAGCAUGAUUCAGCCGAUGCCCCAGUCCCUGAGCACCUGAGCCGGUGUCAGAACCUGACCCUGUACCAGAGCUUCUGUGCCAUGAAGUAUGCCAUCUAUGCCCUCUGUGUGAACUCACACCAGCACUCCCAGUGCCAGGAAUGCAGAGAGAGCCCUUCUGAGGACCUGGCCUUGGCUGCAGAGCCAGCAAAUGAUUCUGUCUCCUCCCCAGGUGCUUCAGAUCUCUUCUCAGCAUACCUGGCCAGAUGUCAACAGUAUCUGUGCAAUAUUCCUGACUCUUUGUGCCUGGAACUUCUAGAAAACAUCUUCUCAUUGCUCCUCAUCACCUCUGCCGAUCUUCACCCAGAGCCUCACCUGCCUGAGGACUAUGCUGAGGAUGAUGACGUUGGGAGGAAGGGCCUGAUAGAUUUGAGGUCACCAUCAGAGAGCCCUCAGCACAUAGCACAACCUGAGAAGAAGUCAGAACGGGGUGGCCAGGGAGUCCCCAGGAACCUUGCUUCUAUAAUCCCAAGCUGUCUGAAGACAGAGCCAAAAGACAGUUCCCCAGAGCCCCAUGGGCACAGCUUUUUGGACCUAAAGCACUUUACUAGUGGUAUCAGUGGGUUCCUGGCUGAUGAAUUUGCAAUAGGGGCCUUCCUCAGGCUUCUCCAGGAGCAGCUGGAUAAACUCAGUAGCCACAACCCCCCUGAGAAGCCAAAGCUGCCAGAAGGCCAGAGCUGCUCUGGAAGCAGAGACGGACUGCAGAGCCGCUUGCACCGGUUUUCCAAGGUUCUUUCUGAGGCCCAGUGGAGAUACAAGGUGGUAUCAAGCAACCAGGGCUCAGAGGAACAACCUUCCCGAAGAUACCGGCCCAUUGCCACACGGCACCCAAGUCUCCGCCGGGGGCGUCGGACUAGAAGGAGCCGGCCAGAUGGCCGGGACAAAGGUUCCAAUCCAUCCCUGGAAAGUACAAGUAGUGAGCUGAGCACAAGUACUUCAGAAGGAAGUCUGAACACUGUGUCUGGAAGGAACGAGCUGGAUGGCCGAUUGCAGCCUCAGUCUCAAAGUUCAGUCAUCCCCAUGAUGUUCUCUCCACCUGAGUCACUGCUGGCAUCCUGCAUCCUCCGGGGGAACUUUGCAGAAGCCCACCAGGUGGUGUUCAUGUUCAACCUGAAGUCCUCGCCCAGCUCAGGGGAACUGAUGUUUGUGGAACGCUACCAGGAGGUGAUCCAGGAACUGGCCCGGGUAGAGCACAAGAUUGAAAACCAGAACUCAGAUGGCGGGAGCAGCACCAUUCGGAGAACAGGCAGCGGCCGCUCGACUCUACAAGCCAUCGGCAGCGCAGCAGCAGCAGGAAUGGUAUUUUACUCCAUCUCUGAUGUGACUGACAAGCUACUCAGCACCGCUGGAGAACCCAUCCCCACCCUCCAGGAGGACUUUUGGAUAAGCAACACCCUGGUGGAGCCCACUGCUCCCCUGAGAGAGGUUCUGGAAGACCUCAGUCCCCCUGCCAUGGCUGCAUUUGACCUAGCUUGCUCUCAGUGCCAGCUCUGGAAAACCUGCAAGCAGCUCUUAGAAACAGCUGAACGACGUCUAAACAUUAGCCUCGAGAGCCGGGGUCGGCGGCUAGACCAGGUACUCCUCAAUGCUGAUGGCAUUCGAGGUUUUCCUGUUGUUCUUCAGCAAAUCAGUAAGAUUCUCAAUUAUCCACUUAUAUCAGCUGGACAAACUAAAUCGGAGAGUGUAGAAGAAAAAGGAGGGGGCCCUCCGCGGUGCAGCAUAGCUGAGCUGCUUCAGAUGUGUUGGCCCAGCCUAACCGAGGACUGUGUCGCCGGCCACACCACCCUGUCCCAGCAGCUGGAACAAGUCCUCCAGGCGCUGAGAGAGGCUCUACAGCUGCCAGAGCCCAGGAGUACUCCACUCUCCUCACUGGUGGAGCAGGCGGCCCAGAAAGCUCCAGAGGCAGAGGCCCACCCUGUGCACAUCCAGACUCAGCUCCUCCAGAAGAAUUUGGGCAGACAGACCCCAGCAGGCAGCAGACAGACUGACUACCUAGGCACCUUCUUCAGUUACUGCAGCACCAUGGCCGCGGUUCUCCUUCGGAGUUUGAGUUCUGAGCCCGAUCACAUGGAAGUCAAGGUAGGAAAUCCAUUUGUUCUCCUGCAACAGAGCUCUUCCCAACUUGUGUCACACCUCCUGCUUGAGCGACAAGUUCCCCCAGACAGGCUGGCAGUCCUUCUGGCCCGAGAGGGGCUCAACCUGAGUGUGCCGAAGGUCAUUGUUAACUGCUGCUGUGAGCAUCUUGCCCUUUGCUCUUCCCAGCAAAGUCAGCAGACAUCAUCCCUUGUGACCCAGCUGGGCGUCAUGGUCCAGCUGCACACCUCCCACUGCCUGGAUGACCUCCCACUUUCUACACUGAGCUCCCCGAAGCCAACUGGGAAUCCCACAUUGGAGAGAAAGCCCCGCUCCUCCCCAAAGGAUUCAUCACUCCCAGCCCUUACCUCUUCUGCCUUGGCCUUCCUUAAGUCCCGCUCAAAGCUGCUGGCCACAGUGGCCUGUCUAGGAGCUUCCCAAGGGUCAAAGCUCACCAAGCCCAGCUUGUCAUGGAAGGAGCUUCGUGGCCGCAGGGAAGUGCCUCUGAGCGCAGAGCAGGUAGCCCAGGAGUGUGAACGCCUCCUGGAACAGUUCCCUAUGCUUAAGGCCUCCCUCGUGGCUGCCUGGGAGCCCCUACGACGGUCCACUGAGCAGGGGCAGAGCCUGGCAGUGAGUCUCUGUGGUCGGGCCAGUCUGUCUACUGUCCUCCUGGGCCUGCACUCUCCCAGUGCUCUAGACGUGCUUACUGAGGCCUUCAAGGAAGCCCUGGUGGCCAGAGAUUGGCCCCAAGCCCUUCAGCUCACAGAAGUGUACGGGCGAGAUGUGGAUGACUUGAGCAACAUAAAGGAUGCGGUCCUGAGCUGUGCCGCGGCAUGUGACAAAGACGGUUGGCAGUUCCUGUUUCCUGUGAAGGAUGCAUCUCUGAGAAGUCAGCUAACCCUACAGUUUAUGGACAGGUGGCCCCUGGAGUGGUGCCUGGAGAUCCUGGCAUACUGCAUCUCAGACACAACUGUCCAAGAUGGACUGAAGUGUGAGCUACAGAGAAAGCUAGCAGAGCUGCAGGUGUAUCAGAAGAUUCUAGGUUUGCAAGCUACCGUGGUAUGGUGUGACUGGCAGACCCUGAGGAACUGUUGCCUUGAGGACCCAUCAACUGUCAUGAACAUGAUUCUAGAAGCAAAGGAGUAUGGACUGUGUGAAGAGUGGGGCUGCCUCUACCCCAUUCCAAGAGAGCAUUUAAUCAGCCUACAUCAAAAGCAUCUUCUCCACCUUCUAGAAAAAGGAGAUCAUGAAAAGGCUCUGCAACUCCUACAAAGAAUUCCUGACCCCACCAUGUGCCUUGAGGUCACAGAGCAAUCCCUUGACCAGCACCCUAGCUUAGCCGCUUCUCACUUCCUGGCCAACUACCUCACCACCCACUUCUACGGAGAACUGUCUGCUGUCCGACACCGUGAAAUCCAGGCACUAUACAUAGGAUCCAAGGUUCUACUGACCUUACCUGAGCCACACCGGGCCAACUACUCCCAUUUGUCUUCUAACCCCCUCCUCAUGCUGGAACAGCUACUCAUGAACAUGAAAGUGGACUGGGCCACUGUGGCUGUGCAGACUCUGCAGCAGCUGCUAACUGGGCAGGAGAUUGGCUUUACCAUGGAUGAGGUUGACUCACUGCUUUCCAGAUAUGCAGGAAAAGCCUUGGAUUUCCCGUACUCUCUGAGGGAGAAACGAUCAGCAUUUUCCCUCUCUACAGAUUCUGUGAUUCAUCUCCAGGAAGUUGGGCAGGCUUCAGACCUUGAGACCUUGUCUAGAUCUCCAUCAGCAGAGUUCUCUUCUGCUGCUGCUCCUGGUGUCUCCACUGUACGUUCCCCCAGUCCAAGGGAGAGGAGCUUCCCAGAGAAUCAGCCCCCCCCAGAGUUUGUCCCCCCAGCAACACCCCCUGGCAGGCAUCAGUGGGUGCCCGACGAGAGUGCAAGCGUCUGCAUGGUCUGCUGCAGGGAGCGCUUUACCAUGUUCAACAGGCGUCAUCAUUGUCGCCGCUGUGGCCGGCUAGUGUGCAGUGCCUGCUCCACUAAGAAAAUGCAGGUGGAAGGCUGCAGAGAGAGCCCUACUCGCGUGUGUGACCAGUGCUAUAGUUACUACAACAAAGAUGUGCCAGAGGAGAAUCCAGAACAACCAGAAGCACCGCCCAGCUCCAAGAGUGAAAGCCCUCCAUACUCAGCUGUGGUGAGAGUCCCCAAAGCAGCUGAGGUGGAAUGGAUUUUGGAUCUGAAUGAGGAGGAAAAUGAGCUGAUGCGGAGUGAAUUCUACUAUGAGCAGUCCCCCAGUGCCUCCUUGUGCAUUGCCAUCUUGAAUCUGCACCGGGACAGUACUGCGUGUGGCCACCAGCUAAUUGAGCACUGCUGCAAGCUGUCCCAGGGCCUCACCAACCCAGAGGUGGAUGCAGGGCUACUCACAGACAUCAUGAAGCAGCUUCUUUUCAGCGCCAAGAUGUUGUUCGUCAAGGCUGGCCGGAGCCAGGACCUCGCUCUCUGUGACAGCUACAUCAGCAAGGUAGAUGUGCUGAAUAUCUUAGUUGCUGCUUCAUAUCGCCACGUGCCAUCUCUGGAUCAGAUCUUGCAGCCGGCUGCAGUAACCAGGCUAAGGAACCAGCUUUUGGAAGCUGAGUACUACCAACUGGGUGUUGAGAUCUCCACAAAGACUGGCCUUGAUCCCACUGGAGCGUGGCAUGCUUGGGGCAUGGCCUGCCUCAAAGCCGGGAACCUCACUGCUGCACGGGAGAAGUUCAGUCGCUGCCUGAAGCCCCCUUUUGACCUCAAUCAGCUGAGUCAUGGCUCAAGACUGGUACAAGAUGUGGUUGAGUACCUGGAGUCCACAGUGAGGCCACUCCUGUCCUUGCAAGAUGAUGAUUAUUUUGCUACCUUGAAAGAACUGGAAACUACCCUUCGGACCCAGAGCCUCUCUCUGGAGGUGAUUCCUGAAGGGAAAAUCAUGAACAACACCUACUACCAAGAAUGCCUCUUCUACCUGCAUAACUAUAGCACCAACCUGGCCAUCAUCAGCUUCUACAUGAGGCACAGCUGCCUACGGGAAGCAUUACUCCACCUCCUCAACAAGGAGAGUCCUCCAGAAGUCUUCAUAGAAGGCAUUUUCCAGCCAAGUUAUAAAAGUGGGAAGCUACACACUUUGGAGAACUUGUUAGAAUCCAUUGAUCCAACCUUAGAGAGCUGGGGAAAGUACUUGAUAGCUGCCUGCCAACAUUUACAGAAGAAGAACUACUACCACAUUCUAUAUGAGCUACAGCAGUUUAUGAAGGACCAAGUCCGGGCCGCCAUGACCUGUAUCCGGUUCUUCAGUCACAAAGCAAAGACUUACACAGAACUGGGAGAGAAACUCUCGUGGUUGCUUAAAGCCAAGGACCACCUGAAGAUCUACCUCCAAGACACCUCUCGCAGCACCAGAAGGAAGAAAACCACCUUCUUCCAAAAGAAGAUGACUGCAGCUGAUGUGUCCAGGCACAUGAACACACUUCAGCUGCAGAUGGAAGUGACCAGGUUCUUACAUCGGUGUGAAAGUGCUGGGACCUCUCAAAUCACCACCUUGCCUCUGCCAACCCUCUUUGGAAAUAACCACAUGAAAAUGGAUGUUGCCUGCAAGGUCAUGCUAGGAGGGAAAAAUGUGGAAGAUGGUUUUGGAAUUGCAUUCCGUGUUCUGCAGGACUUCCAGCUGGAUGCUGCAGCAACCUACUGCAGAGCUGCCCGGCAGCUGGUGGAGAGGGAGAAAUACAGUGAAAUCCAACAGCUGCUCAAGUGUGUCAGUGAGUCAGGCAUGGCGGCCAAAAGUGAUGGGGACACCAUCCUCCUCAACUGCUUGGAAGCAUUCAAGAGAAUUCCACCCCAGGAGCUGGAGGUCCUGAUCCAGGCAAUACACAGUGAUGACAACAAGGUUCAGGCCUACCUGACAUGUUGCAAACUGCGUUCUGCCUACUUGGUUGCCGUGAAGCAAGAACACUCACGGGCUGCAGCCCUUGUCCAGCAGGUGCAGCAGGCUGCCAGGAGCAGUGGGGAUGCAGUAGUGCAAGACAUCUGCACCCAGUGGCUUCUGACGAGCCACAACCGGAGCACCCACAGCUCAGGCUCCAGAAAGUGACCGUGUGCAGCGAGGCCUGACUACUAUAGAAUAGGAGAGAUGGAGAUGAUCUCUACCUUUCCCCUCCUGUGCAGUGGGACUUCCCCGGCUCUGCCCCAGGUCGGAAAGAGCUGGAUCGGACCCUACUUGCCACCUUGGGCAAGGAUAGGACCUUUCACGCCACGCAAGUGCCAUGUUUCUGUCAAACUGUGGGAUCUACGUGUCGUCCGGAGAUGGCCAGUUCUUUCUACCUCAGCGUGAACUUACCUUGGAGCCUCCUGGCCAGCUCACGAGUAAAAAGCACAUUAGCCAGCUUGCUGUGACAAUAAGCGAAACCUCGGCUAUAGCGCUUCUCACCCUGGAGGUCAUGGAAGCGAAUCUUGCCAGCAUGGUGGACUACCGAUGACAGGUUCACCACCCGUGAAGGAGUGGACUCUUUCAGCCGCUCCAGGAGCAAGUGGGUAAGAAGAAAGUGGCCUGUGAGGAGAGCCAGCAGGGGAGAUUGAAGAGUGGGGUGACAGCUCAGGCUUAGGGGUGGGAGCUGAUGAUAGGACUUCAGCAUUAACUCCCUAUCUUCUGGGCGUGAACAAAUUUAGAUGCUGUGAUAACUCAGUGCAAAUCAUCAGUCAGAGUGAGUGGAUUCCUCAAGGCAAGGGCCAGAGCUAGACUAUAGGCAAGGCAAUAUAGACUUGAUCUGUAUUUAUUUGUCCCUCUGCCCUGUCCCAGUCAGGAGAAAUGCCUCCUGAUGGCUUCCAACCACCCUCUGGCCAUGAUCACACAACUGAGGGCCCAAAUACAUUUAUGUACAGAAGGAAGGAUGGAAUAGUAAGGUUAAAGUAGUUUGCCUAGGACCAGAGAACAUGUUCCAUGAACUCCUCACUAGAGCCAUGAACCCUGAACCCCAGCCUUAUUCAUACCUCAGACCCUCAAGAUCUGUCUCCUCUGUAGCCUAGCCCUUGACUUGCUUGGUCCUUAGUUAUAAAUGUGACCCCCUCCAGCCAAACACAGAUUCCUGCACCCUGCAUGCCUGGUCCUGCAUGGGAAGGCUUGCACUACCACGGCCCCAUCCAAGAAUGACAUUCUUCUUCCUGGUGUCCCCAAGUUUUGGGGCUUCUUAAUGGUAUGAGUAGGAGGAUCUCACUUUUUGUACUGGUCAGGAGAAGGAUAGUAAACAAAACCCCCAACUCUAUGAAGCUCACUAGAGAUUCUCAGUACUGGUAUAGGGUCAUCUCCCUACAGAAAACAAGAUGGGGUUUUCUUGCUUUCCAGUCACUCAAAAAUACUUACCUAGGUGGUUGACUCCCAGGUGGGUUUCAAAGCCAUCAGCUGUCUUAGAAUAUGGACACAUCAUCACCCCUGCAUUGUUGAUCAGAAUAUGGAGCUGCUUUUCCUCUAUAAAGUAUAACCAAGGAGACCCUGAAGUUAGCAAGGAGCCCACUAGCUGCCUGUUGUAAUCCUGAGUAUUUGCUUCUUUCCCUUCAACCUAUCUCAGUGAUAUUCAAUAACCACGGUCAUUGGAUUUCUAAAUUUAGUUAUUGAUAUCUGCCUGGACAUUCAUUCAUUCAUUCAUUUAGCAAAUGUGUACUAAGUACUAACUCUGGGCCAGGCUCACUCAGCUAUGCGCUGGACACCCAGUCAUAAAACAAGACAGACAUAGUCCCUGUCUUGCAUGGAUUUCAUAGUCCUUGGUAAAAGCUAGUCAUUUUCCAAGAGACAGAAAAAUGUUGGCAGCAGCACAACUUCAUUUAGUGCCUGUGGCACAGAAGGUUGAUUCUCAGGAUGAGAAAAGAGAGUGGCAUCGGGGCCACACCUUGAUGCCAAGGUGCAAGCCCAGACAGAGAGCCCAGCAUCCCCAUUGCUGAGGAAAAAGAUGAUAAGGAUCCUGCCCAGCUUGUCCACCACCAAUUCCUUGCCCUGCUGGUUCAUGUGGCAGAACCUGUCCAGUGAGAUCGAUGGUGGUUCUGAUGUAAAGGUCACAGAUGAUACAGGGUGGAGCAAUCAGUCCCACACCCAGUUUCCUGCUUUUCUGUCUACUCACAGGGGACUUACCUGCUAGAAAGCCCUCAGCAAAGGCUCGGAUGGAUUUGGUAUCAGAUAGGUCCAGUUUCCGCACCAGCACCUGGGAGUUCUUUGUAUCAGCUCGGAUUUCACUGGCUGCAGACUCUCCCUUCAGUACAUCUCUGCAGGCAAUAUAUACUCUGGCUCCUAGGGCCAAAACAAAGACAGGGCAACAUGUUCAAACCCUAGGCUGAAAAAGAGGACGUGGGCUUGAGACCGGUGGACAGAACAUUCUCCUAGCCAUCCCUAAACAGUGAGUGGCUAUAUUGCCAUCUCAGGGUUCUCACAAGUGAACUAUUCAGACCCUUUGCUGUCAGCUUAACCCUAGGCUGGGAACCCUGGCUUUUACACUCUGGUAUUUAAUGUGGCUUGGUAUCUACCUUUAGAAUAGCUGAUUUGAGCAAUAUUUACACGGACAUCAUUAUUUCCCUUAUACAAUAGGGAAGAAGGGAAGAAGGUUUGUUUAAGGGUACAGAGUAAGUUGGUGCCAGAGCUGGACUUGAAUCCCAGGUUCCUUGAAUUUCUGACCAGAACCUCCAAGCCCAGGAGGAAAGACAAGGAAAUGUGGACAGAAUCCCCAGUGAUAAAGGCAGGAGGCACUGUCCUAUGAACACAGAAGGGGAAGGACUUACCUCUGCGAGCGAGUUCUCUGGCCGUCUCCUUGCCAAUGCCUGUGUUGGCGCCAGUGAUCACCACUACCUUCCCAGGAAGUUGCACGUUUGAUCUACAAACCCCACCAGCAAAGAACUUCCUAUAGGCAAGGGAAACAAAAGGAAACCAAAAGCAUUCAUGCAUUAUCCUUCCCAAUUCCAGACUGAGAUCAACAUAAAAUCCAUCCAUCCUCAAAGAGAAAUUUCUUUAAGUUGUUGUCAGGAGACCCAAAAAAGUGAAUCUUCAGGGGACACUCUUUUCCCACUAGGUAUCCUGCUCAUUGGCUCAGGUUGUAAGAUCAUGUGCCCAGAAACUACAAAUGAUCAUUUGGACAAAGUGAAUAAGUGCUCUUGAGCCAGGGCCAAUGGAGACCUUCCUUGUUAGAUAACACAGAUACCUAGCUUUUAUCUCUAGAGGUUCCCAGAGGUCAGCUUCCUCCUCUAACCUGCAUUCAAAACAUAUGCAUGAUGAGCAUUAGUAGAAUCAAUGGUCCUGAGCCCUAGGUCUUCAAUAAGCAUCAACAGUGAGUAAUUGAUUAACAGCACUUCAAGAGUUCCCAUAUACAUAUAUGGCUCUUGGGCUGCUUUCCAGUUUUAGAGAGCUGACAUCUUCAGAGGCUUUCUGCCAUCCUACUAGAAAUUCCAUUCUAGCCAUCAACACACAGACAGAAACCUCUUUUGUUCAGACAUCUGUACAGAGAGCAUCCUUUCACAUAAAGUUGACCUGACAAAUUCUGAAAAAGAGGGUGGGAACAGGGGAGAACUAACAUUUCCUAAGCAUCAUCUGACUGGCACUAGGCACUAGGCUAGGCACUUUCCAUAGAGAACUUAUUUUAAUCCUCUCAUUCUGUUAGUAUUCCCCUUUUACAGAGGAGAACACGGGGGUCAAAGAAGUUCAAGUCAUUUGCUAAUGGUGGCAAAAUUAGAACUUAAACCUUGUUUCUAUGCCAGGACCUAGAGCAACACUCUGUUUCUGAUGUGUUCAUUUAUCUUCUUUAUUGUCGGCAUUUUUUUUAAUGUUUAUUUAUCUUUGAGAGAGAGACAGACAGAGCACAAGUGGGGGAGGGGCAGAGAGAAAGAGAGAGAGAGAGAGAGAGAGAGAGACAGAAUCUGAAGCAGGCUCCAGGCUCUGAGCUGUCAACACAGAGCCCGACAAGGGGCUUGAACCGUGGAUCAUGAGCUGAGCCGAAGUCAGAUGCUUAACCAGCUGAGCCACCCAGGUGCCCCUAUUGUCAGCAAUUUUUAAAAUUUUCACUCAGAACACACAUUUCUUUGACACCUCCAGAAAUCCCACAGCAGAAAAGCCAUCCCAAAUCAUUAGUCGAGGGUAGUCUCAAAGGUAAGAGAGUUUGUUUCCUUUGAAAAAUUUCUGGUACUUAACAAUGAAUCUUUCAGCAAUGACCUCCCAUGGUAACCCAGCAGGGCAACCUUGAGUAGGAGCAGUGAAGAAAGGACAUAGGGACCUUCAGAGAAACCCAAGGGAAUAAAGUGAUAGAGCAAGCACUCCUACCUUGAUUGUCUGUCAUAGAGUCAGCUAUCCACUAGCAUCAGAAUUUAAACCAGCCCCUUCUCUCCCAGCCCCAGGUGCUUCCUUCUCAGUUUCAUAACUACCUCCUUCCUGCUUUCUCUGCCCUGACUUUAUUUCCCUCAGCCUCCAUCCCUUUCUCUUCUUUCAGCAGCUGAGAACUCAUCUACUUACAAGCUCUGUGGCUCCCAAUCCAGGACUUUGCAAAAUAUUCCAUGAGUUACUGAAUUAAAACAAACCUGAUGGAUGGAGCUAUCACAUACAGGAAAGAAAGGAAGGAGGUGAGCAGUCCCAAGACAACCAGCAUCUUUUCAACUUCUUUAGUUGCUGCCGCUUUAGCAAAAGCACCUUAGACUCCAGGUCUGGCUCAAGCUCCUGGUCUAACUCCAACUCCUGUCUGCUUCACGCUGCCUCUCCUCCUCUAGUUCCUCUCACUCCUGGGCACUCAGCAGCAGCAAGGCUCUAUCUGAGCUUAGCCCAGAAUCCUAUUUAAAUCCGAGCUGUCAGAGCACAGCCUGCUGGGAGAUGUAGUUCUCGGGGAAGAAGAUGGAGGAAAGAGCAGUACUUCAAACUUACUGGCAAAGGGAAUGGGGGAAAACUAGAGCAACUACCGGCUAACUCCCCACCCUCGGUUAUUUCUCUUAUUUAGGGAAUGUGUUCUCCCAACCACGCCCACCUCUACUCCUGCAAGACAGAAUAUUUUUAACUUUAGCAACAGACCCCAUGACACUUGGAAUACAAGUGUGAUUAAAAUAGAAAAGAAGGGGGGCGCCUGGGUGACUGAGUCAGAUGAGCAUCCAACUCUUGAUUUCAACUCAGGUCAUGAUCCCAGGGUCAUGGGGUCAUGCUCUACAUUGGGCUCUGAGCUGACAGUGCAGAGCCUGCUUGGGAUUCUCUUUCUCCCCUUCUCUGCCCCUUCCCCACUCACUCUCUCUCUUUCAAAAUAAAUAAAUAAACAUUUUUUAAAAAUAGAAAGAGAAGGUAGAACCCCCCCAGAAGAAUAGUGAAAGAAGUCAGGAGAGUAGUCUCCUUUGGUGGGAAAGGGAUAGAGACUGGGAGGGGGCAUGUUGGGAACCUCUGUGGGGAUAAGUGUUCUGUUUUUUGAGGUGGGUACUGGUUACAGAAGUGUGCUCAUUUUGUGAAAAUUCAUUGAGUCAAAUGCUUGAUUUGUGCACUUUUCUGUGUUUUAUGUUAUGUAUCAAUAAAGUUAACACAUACGUGUA